rnacentral:rRNA from 1 species
CCCGGGUCUUGUACACACCGCCCGUCACACCAUGGGAGCGGGAUGUACAAGAAGUAGGUAGGCUAACCGCAAGGGGGCCGCUUACCACGGUGCGUUUCGUGACUGGGGUG